AGCAGGGUAUCAACGAGAGUACAUGGGAAAUUGCCUUGCCAACGAGUUAGCUAAGAAAGCUUCUAGGAGUUACCAAAUUGUUGGGUCCCACAUGAUGAGGCAGAUUAAAAAUUCUACUAGGAAUAAGUCUCCCUCGAAAAAAGGAAUGCCAACCAUCCAAGAAGUACUUCAAAUACAGGAGGACGCUCUUGCACAGGUAAAACAGCUGUGGCAGGACCAGGGUUGUCUGUACGAUCCUGUCACUAACUUAUGGGUUACGCCUGCCGGACAGACUUGCAGGUCUGACGAGCUUGCGGUGUGGGUUAUUGAAUUUGUACACUUUGCAACUCAUUGUGGGGCCAAGGCUGUAAGUGAUAUGAUUUUAGAGACCUGGUGGCAUCCAAAACUUUUGACUUGUCCCAGCGUAUCAGCCAGCAAUGUCUGAUUUGCUAACAGCAUAAUCCAGGUAAAGGCUUGCCCUGUGAACCAGUUAAGACUCAUUUACCAUUUGAGACCUUUCAAAUGGACUACAUUGAGUUGGAAUGAU